GAUCUGCCUUCAGGAUGGGGACAACAGCGGGAAACGGCUGCUAAUACCCAAUAGGCUGAAAAGUGAAAGAUUUAUCGCCUGAAGAGGAGCUCGCGUCUGAUUAGCUAGUUGGUAGGGUAAAAGCCUACCAAGGCGACGAUCAGUAGCUGGUCUGAGAGGAUGAGCAGCCACACUGGGACUGAGACACGGCCCAGACUCCUACGGGAGGCAGCAGUGGGGAAUUUUCCGCAAUGGGCGAAAGCCUGACGGAGCAACGCCGCGUGAGGGAGGAAGGCCCUUGGGUUGUAAACCUCUUUUCUGGGGGAAGAAGUAAUGACGGUACCCCAGGAAUAAGCAUCGGCUAACUCCGUGCCAGCAGCCGCGGUAAUACGGAGGAUGCAAGCGUUAUCCGGAAUCAUUGGGCGUAAAGCGUCCGCAGGUGGCUAUUCAAGUCUGCUGUCAAAGCAUGGAGCUUAACUCCAUAGAGGCAGUGGAAACUGAAAGGCUAGAGGCCGGUAGGGGUAGUGGGAAUUCCCAGUGUAGCGGUGAAAUGCGUAGAGAUUGGGAAGAACAUCGGUGGCGAAAGCGCACUACUGGGCAGGACCUGACACUGAGGGACGAAAGCUA
rnacentral:rRNA from 1 species